rnacentral:rRNA from 1 species
CUACGGAGGGUGCAAGCGUUGUCCGGAUUUAUUGGGUUUAAAGGGUGCGUAGGUGGUUUUUUAAGUCAGUGGUGAAAGCCUACAGCUUAACUGUAGAGGUGCCAUUGAUACUGGGGAACUUGAGUAUGGACGAGGUAGGCGGAAUUUGUGGUGUAGCGGUGAAAUGCAUAGAUACCACAAGGAACACCGAUAGCGAAGGCAGCUUACUGGGCCAUAACUGACACUGAGGCACGAAAGCGUGGGGAGCGAACAGGAUUAGAAACCCGGGUAGUCC